ACACCUAAGCACCCACCCCUCUCUCUUUAUCUUCUCCAAACACACCCUCGAGACCCAGCAUCCCACCCUGCUACUUCAUCUUCUUCGCAUCUUCUCCAGCGGCGACCACCAAUAGCCCAGCCUCCGUCUCUUCGCCGGAACCAAACGACCACCACCUCCCCCACGUCGUCGACCACUUCUCUUACCUCCAUUCACAAGCUCCAAUCAACCACCUGAAACAGUCACCUCAACACACCAGAAUCGUCCCCUUCAAACGACCACCUUCAUCUUCUUCGUCAUCUUCUCCAAGCCCGACCAUCAUCGUCGCUCCAUCUCCA
rnacentral:lncRNA from 1 species